CAGUAGCCACGGUAAUACGUAGGUGGCAAGCGUUGUCCGGAAUUAUUGGGCGUAAAGCGUGCGCAGGCGGUUGUGUAAGACAGGUGUGAAAUCCCCGGGCUUAACCUGGGAAUGGCGCUUGUGACUGCAAAGCUAGAGUGCGGCAGAGGGGGAUGGAAUUCCGCGUGUAGCAGUGAAAUGCGUAGAUAUGCGGAGGAACACCGAUGGCGAAGGCAAUCCCCUGGGCUUGUAACUGACGCUGAGGCUCGAAAGCGUGGGGAGCAAACAGGAUUAGAUACCCCCGUAGUCCCUGUCUCUUAUA
rnacentral:rRNA from 1 species